CGACCCUCAAGCACAGCUUGGUGUUGGGCACGGUCCCGCAGGACCCGCCCGCAACUCGUAGGCGGCCGCCGCCCGCGCCCCCAGCGUAGCAAGCUCACGCGUUCGCUCGGGGACGGCGCGUCUGGCCCGCCAGACUAAUUUUUUCAAGGU
rnacentral:misc_RNA from 1 species